ensembl:lncRNA
GAUAUCUGAUACCACGUGGCUCAGCAAUAACACUGGGAGAGUUAGCCAAGGGUUGCUUCUCACAGAUUGGCUGAGCAUCUAUCAGUGGGUGGCAUGAAGAAGAGAAGGCAGCGGCGGUGGGAGCAGGUAUUCCCAGAGCCAUCCAUCGCUGCCUGUCACUGCUCUCGUCCAGGUUGAAGGCCCAGUGGAAGCCUUCUAACCCUGCUCGCUUGUGCACAGAAGCAAAGGGUACAGCCAUAAGACAGAAGAGCACAGAUGUGCCGAGGUGCUGCAUGAGGAUAUCCAACAUGGGGCUGCUUUAAUGUGAAGCGAGAUCCAGGCAGAGGAUGCUCCGAAUGCAGCUCAGACAAAAGUGUGCUUCAGCCACACAAACGCAGGUGAGAAACUCCAUGUUCUUUUUUCAAAGUCAUUCCUCUCCUUUGGCAUCGCUGAAUCCUGCUGUCACCACGUGCCCUGUUUGUGAUGCUGAGGAAGGGAAGCUCAUGGAGGUGAUUUCCUUCUGCUUUUCGGAAGCUUUCCAGUCUGAACAAAAGACGUAUUGCUUCUGACACUGGAG